UUGUAGCCUGACAGCCUAUAAGACAUCCAUAAACCACCCAACAUCUGUGGCUUCUGUCUUUCUACCUUUUCUCUGACAGCACCAGCUCACUGCUUGGAGUGAGAAAAGAAGACUUUCCAGUCCUCCGGGUGUCCACGCCCUCGCUACGCCAAGCUCAACAGAUACAGGUCAUGAAAAAACAGUUCACAAACCUUUCUGCAGAGCAGAAGAUUCUGCUACUUGAAAAUAUAUUUGUAAAAUGCUUAAAGAACACACUGCCAGCCAGAGGUCACAGCACACGCUGUACAUAAACAGGAUAUUUACAAAGAAGUCACCACACUGAGCCGAGCCCUGGAGAUCAAGCAUGUGCAAUGUUUCAGCUGAGGCUGACCAGAGCUGGGAGCGCUGUGACAAUAUCCUGUUCCUACUCACAGCAAAAUGAGAAAUGACUUCUUCGGGGAAGUUCCUGAAAUACACACGGGAACGCCUCCACGAUAAAAAGACGAAGAAAUAAUCGCUUUAUCUUAAACAUGGGAAAAACCUAACACCUGGAAAAAAACAUGUUGAUUGGACGCUGUGAUUUUCCUGCAAGGAAGGCUAGAUCGCUAAUCCAUUACACCUCCCAUCCAAGCAGCCACCUCCCACCUUCGACUCUGAGCAUGCUGAAAUGAGUUCCCUGAAAAAUUAGGCCAGAUCCUCAAGUGAUGCUCCCAGUGUGAUGCAGCAGCAAGGCCGCUUCCCCCAGCUGCAUCAGUUACCUGGAAUCCGUGAUGCAACCCAAGACAACCAAGGCUAGAGAAGCUUGAAAUAUUUGAACAAGAAAACACAAACACACACCUGCAUUCACCAGCGUGUUUGUCUUUGCGCCUCUUGAAGCUACAUGAAAACAACGUCUGCAAAGUGGUCUGAAAGUGUACCUAUCGCCUUGAACCUCUCUAUUCCUUUGCGGACACAUGAGCAUAUUAGA